CUGAAUAAAUAUACAGUGUAAAUAGCCUGAAUGAUUGGGAUUGACACAUGGGGAUUGUUAUAAUAUUUACAUGCAAUUUAAAUCAUCAGUGUGUAUGAUGUUAUAAUUAACCCAGCCCCUCUGGCUGCACUUGCGUCUGGCUGCAGAGUUUACAACACUGAAAAUAUCCCAACUUGCAGACAUGGCUGUGCUGAAGAAGACAGUAGUGGUGGGUUUUGUCCUCUUUGGUCUUAUUCCCCUGAUUCAUGCCUGCUCGUUGAUGAAAGCCGGUGGCAAAGCUGAUAAGUGUCAGGAUUACUUGGAUAAUUCGUGGCACCCACAAGGAUCCACCUGGACAAACCGCUACUGUAUUAAAUGCACUUGCAGCUCUGGAUACAUGAUCUGCUGUUCCGAAUUUCCAAAAUCUGUGACCCCUGGCUGCACCCUGCAAAAAGAUUACAAAACAUGCAAAUACAACGUGAUUAACUACAACCCAGCAGUUGAAUGUAAAGUCACGAAGAGUUAAUGUUGACGUGACCGAAGUUUCACAAUCAAUGCAUACAGAAUGUCAUAUAAGGGCAUGAAUAAUAGUGCAAUAAUAAUAAUAAUAAUAAUAAUAAUAAUAUAUAAUAAUUCGGAGGUAGACUGUGAGUCUUUCGAUGUGUAGUUUUAGAAGUCUGAUUGUACAAUAAAGCAUUACACAAAACACUUGUAUGGUACUUUUUUUAAACAGACUGAGGGUUCUAUAUUAACAGAAGUGGUGGAUUAAGCUGGCCAGCAUUAUUUGCACUGCAUAUGAUUCUCUUACAAUAUUCAUGAACCAGGG
ensembl:lncRNA